rnacentral:rRNA from 1 species
CCUACGGGAGGCAGCAGUGGGGACUAUUGCACAAUGGGGGGAACCCUGAUGCAGCGACGCCGCGUGAGUGAAGAAGUAUUUCGGUAUGUAAAGCUCUUUCAGCAGGGAAGAAAAUGACGGUACCUGACUAAGAAGCCCCGGCUAACUACGUGCCAGCAGCCGCGGUAAUACGUAGGGGGCAAGCGUUAUCCGGAUUUACUGGGUGUAAAGGGAGCGCAGACGGCUGUGCAAGUCUGGAGUGAAAGGCUGGGGCCCAACCCCCGGACUGCUUUGGAAACGGUAAAGCUGGAGUGCAGGAGAGGUAAGCGGAAUUCCUAGUGUAGCGGUGAAAUGCGUAGAUAUUAGGAGGAACACCAGUGGCGAAGGCGGCUUACUGGACUGCAACUGACGUUGAGGCUCGAAAACGUGGGGAGCAAACAGGAUUAGAUACCCCUGUAGUC